AAUUAGUUUGCUUUAGAAGUGAUUGAUGGAAGAAUUUCUGGUUGCUGAAAUUCCUAGUUAAUGUUGAUCAAAAUGAUCAACAUGAUGCCAAAUUGGAAAUUAAUUGCUUCCAAAUUAAUUUGACAACUUGUAGAGAUAUAUUAGAGUAAAUUGGAAGUGCUUGAGCGGACUUAAAGUGAGUUGGAUGUGCAAAGUAAGCUUCAAAGUGCUGCUGCAGCUAUUUGUUUUAGUGCAAGGACUGAAUUGUAAAAUUCAGGGUGGUAAUGCAGUUUUGCUGAGUUAGAGGGUUAAAGUGAAAUUGUUUGUCCUUAUCACUUAAUCCCUGUCAACUUACAUCUGCCCACAUAUCUGAGACUUAUCCCACAGCCCUUUUCACUUCUCUUUCCUCUCUCUCUCUCUACGUAGCAACAAGUAAGAAAAGGUUUGAGAGCUUGAUGUUGGCAGCUUAGAGGUUUGUUGGGCUGAGGAGAAGAUUUGAUCCAAGCAUGAAUUUCUGCCGAUUGGAAUUGCUAAACAAUCUGAAACAGCCUCUAAUCAAGGUAAACUUGAUUAGUAAUUAUUCAUAGAUAGGUUAAUCAGUUGGAGAGGAAGUUUAUAUGGAUUCUUGCUAUUAGAACAGCAAACUUGUGCUGUUGGUGCUGCCGAACUUAAAGGGGGAACCAUUUAAAGUUGUGAGCAAGUGAGUUCAGCAUCUAAUUAAGAUUGGUGAGUUGAAGUCAAGUUGUUGUGUUGUUGGUGCUGAGAUCAACUGGAUAAGAUCCUGGAUGCUUGGCCGAAAUGAAAACAAGCAGGGAUUCAGUUGAGAAGAUGAAGUUUGAGCUGACAAGAGUUUAGUUGAGAGGAAAACCUUGAAGAAGUUCCAAUUUCUGUGAUUAGCUUGGAGUUAAUUACAUCUGGACUGAUCUAUAUAGAGGAAGUAUGAAAGGAUUUCAUAUUGCUGAAAUUCAGCUUGAGAGCUGGGGCUUGAGUAGUUGAUGCUGAAUGAAAUUUGGAGAAAGCCUAAAUUAAGUGGCCGAAGUGAAGUGAAGGCUUGUAGGAGCUGCUAAGUUGAAAAAGAAUUCAACAAGGAAGCUUAAUUGCUGCUGGGACUGAAGCAAGUGCAUUGAUUAAUCAGCUAAGUGGCUGCAGUUGAGGUAAACUUGAUGUUAAUUCUGAAUAGAGUAGCGGACUAGCUGCUUUAAGACUGAUCUUAUGUAACUAAAGCCGAAAAUUGUGAAGCUCAAAUACAGAAUUUCAGCAUUGAACUCUAUCGACUAUUGGAGUUGGAACUAGCCAAUGGAGUAGUAGAUCUGGCAAAUUUCAGAUCAGAGAUGAUUAGAGCAAAGUUGAGCUUGAUUAGCUCUAAUCUUUAAAUGAAAUCGAGAGUAAAUUCACUCUGAUUUCUGUGUAGAAGAUCUGCCAGGAAAGUUAGCAAAGCAGUGAAGCAAGUGCAAAUUUCAGCAUGGAAGGUCGGCGACGCGUUAAUUACGGUAGAGGCCGUUCUAAUUCUAUUUGCACCAAAUCGCACGAGAUUGUUCUUGACACAGUUCGAGACGUGGAUUCUAGUUGUUGAUACCACUACAGGUGGGUGGUGCUAUCCGAAGUCAUCGAAUCCCUCUUUAUGUCUAUGCUAUCUUAUUGAGCAUAUCUAUAUAUGUGAAUUAUAUCAUAUUCAUACAUUAUAGGGAAAAGUGUUAUUAUGCAAUUGAAUUUCUGUCAAUGUAAAGAACAUGUGGGCCAUAGAAUAUGAACAUAGAACCCUAUAAAUAUGUGAACUUUACUGUGGACUAUAACAAUAAUAAACUUGGUGACAAUCUAA